GCCUGGGUGGCUCAGUAGGUUGAGCAUCUGACUUCGGCUCAGGUCAUGAUCUCACAGAUCGUGAGUUCAAGCCCCGCGUCAGGUU
rnacentral:tRNA from 1 species